GUCAUAUCCAGUUAACAGAGAAGAAGGGAAAGAUCUUUCUUCAGCUCACUCCUAUUUACCUUUUCCUUAAUCAGUUCAUCACUCCCUGGAAAACCCAGAAGACUGUUUAAGACAUCUGAGCUGUAACCAUGCUAAACCAUUGACUACAAAGGAGACACACAGACCUAAAAGAAGCUGGGGUAUUUCUACUUCUUUUCCUGCCCAGUGAAGUCUGAAGGACUGCUGUGCUGAAGAAAAUGUGUGUCACCCCUGCAGUGCUGGAUGACUGGAGCAUGCACUUGACCUAAUUUUCUGAUAUGAGUGGUUAAAAUAAAUUCUAAG